rnacentral:rRNA from 1 species
AUUGAACGCUGGUGGCAGGCCUAACACAUGCAAGUCGAACGAGUGGCGGAGGGGUGAGUAAUGUCUGGGAAACUGCCAGAUGGAGGGGGAUAAAUACUGGAAACAGUAGCUAAUGCCGCAUAACAUCGGCAGUGCCCAGAGGGGAUUAGCUAGCAGGGGGGGUAAGGGCCCACCUAGGCGAAGAUCCCUAGCCGGUCUGAGAGGAUGACCAGCCACACUGGAAGUGUGACACGGUCCAUACUCCUACGGGAGGCAGCAGUGGGGAAUAUUGCACAAUGGGCGCAAGCCUGAUGCAGCCAUGCCGCGUGUAUGAAGAAGGCCUUCGGGUUGUAAAGUACUUUCAGCGGGGAGGCGUUACCCUCAGAAGAAGCACCGGCUAACUCCGUGCCAGCAGCCGCGGUAAUAC